AUGGAAGACCUGCAGAAGGCAGCAUACAGAAGUUGCAAGUCCUUUCUACAACAGCAGUCUACAAAUGGAAGCCGUGGGCCUGGAUGUUAGCACAUGACCAAAAUGCUAACAGACGACACAAAGCCGGUCCCAGAGGAUCUAAGUGUCCAGGUCAGCAGUGAAGGAAUCUGCUCAAGUGCAGCACACAGAGGACCCAUGCCCCUCUCCGGCCACGCCCUGGGCAGUCAUUAUAUAUGGGAGGCAGAUGGCAUCAGAGCAGCUCUGUCAAUAAAACUUUAAUAAUGUACAGCAGAAACUGGACAGGCUCGUUCUUAUAUUAAAACAAAAAUUUCCUAUAUUACAAUAUAUUUACACUUGCAUACUGGAGAGGUAAAGUGUCUAAGUGGCUAUUUUACAGUCCUUUCUAAUAAAUUGUACAAAAAACAAACAGAAGUACCGAGAAUACCGUUCAGGGGCCUUGACGGCGACCUAAGAACGGGCUUAGACUUGGUCUAUGAAUCCAGAAUCCAGAGGUGCAGGUAGCCCUGUGGAUCAGGGUGGCCUCAGGGAGCCAAACCACAGCUUCAGUUUCUCCCAACUCUCAGCUCAAUGUAGAGUGAUGGGGUGGGAGUGGAGUUUCCCCCAAACCUGCUCAAGUCUUCCUGAGAGGUGGACGAGCUGAACUGCACAGAGGGCAGAAGGGUCUCCUGGGAGUAGUCCGGUGGUGUGGGGGUGGCUGUGGGGCUGCUGCUGGCAGGUAACAGAGGCAGAGAGGAUUCUACCAUUCAACCACCUGUAAUCACGGAGACUCAGCUGCAGGGUGGGAAGUGGGAGGUCAGCAGGGGUGGGUAAAGAGGUUCCCCCAAAGACACAGUUGGGACUCAAGGGAUACUGUUCAGUGGCCAGUAAAUUGGCCCAAGGAAUUAAAGGAGGAUCCCUUUAAAGCAAGGAAAGAAGCUAUACACCAGGAAAUAAAUAGAAAGACCGAGACUAUGGGGAGACAGUUUCCCUGCGCAUACUCAUGCCUCCCCUGGGGCAGGAAGGGCUCCCGGCGAUGAAUUCAGUCUCCAGGCCCCACCGCUUGCCAGGGGCUCCCCUUCCCGUUCCUUAGUGGUCUUUAAGAACAGAGCUCAUAAAGGUUCUCAGGGUCAGCCAUGAGUACUUCUGGUCUCAAAAGUGGGUGCUCAUCCACUCACGAUUCAGUUCUCCCUCCAGGAGCAGCGCCCGGGCCUGUCCCUCUCUCAGGAGAUCCUCCCAGGCCAGCGCUCAGCAGGCACACAACCCAAAUUUGCUGAGUGAAUGUCUGGAAAGGGUGCAGCCAGCCGGACAGUGCACAGAAGGCCGGGGAGCUGCUCAUGGGAUGGGGUCGGUGUGCAGGGCGUAGGAGGCUGCCAGCCCCAUGGGGAAAUGCGGCCCUUCCUGCUCAGCGGGAUCAGGCUCAGGAGCAGAGCGGGCGUUUCCAGUGACUGAACUAUGUGCGUCUGAGUCUAGACAAUUUUUGUUUUGUUUGUUUUAG